rnacentral:rRNA from 1 species
CCCUUAGAUGUUCUGGGCUGCACGCGCGCUACACUGAAGCUAUCAACACGUUUUCCCUCCCUGAGAAGGGCGGGUAACCUUUUGAAUCAGCUUCGUGGUAGGGAUCGGGGCUUGCAAUUGUUCCCCGUGAACCAGGAAUUCCUAGUAGACGCGAGUCAUAAGCUCGCAUCGAUUAAGUCCCUGCCCUUUGUACACACCGCCCGUCGCUACUACCGAUUGAACGUUUCAGUGAGGCAUUUGGACCGACGCAUCUCAGUUUAACCGCUGGUUUGUGUUGGAAAGACUUCCAAACUUGAGCGUUUAGAGGAAGUAAAAGUCGUAACA